CAACGUAAAGCUCUUCUUCAGAUUAGACGGUAGAGCGUUGUUUCUGAUCUUCAUAUUCUUAAUAUUCGGAUCUUCUUAUCGAUUUGAGUUUGUUGCAGAUAAUUAUACUCUUGAUUGUAGAUAAAGCAGAUGGCUUUAGUUGCGGGACAGAGAUCCACACUGAAUCCGAAUGCUCCGCUCUUCAUUCCGGCGGUGUACCGUCAAGUGGAGGAUUUUUCUCCGGAGUGGUGGGAGCUGGUGAAAACUUC
rnacentral:misc_RNA from 1 species